rnacentral:rRNA from 1 species
UACGUAGGGUGCGAGCGUUAAUCGGAAUUACUGGGCGUAAAGCGUGCGCAGGCGGUUUGUUAAGACAGAUGUGAAAUCCCCGGGCUUAACCUGGGAACUGCAUUUGUGACUGGCAAGCUAGAGUAUGGCAGAGGGGGGUAGAAUUCCACGGUGUAGCAGUGAAAUGCGUAGAGAUGUGGAGGAAUACCGAUGGCGAAGGCAGCCCCCUGGGCCAAUACUGACGCUCAUGCACGAAAGCGGGAGGGCAAACAGG